AACGAACGCUGGCGGCAUGCCUUACACAUGCAAGUCGAACGGUAACAGGUCUUCGGAUGCUGACGGGUGGCGAACGGGUGAGUAAUACAUCGGAACGUGCCCGAUCGUGGGGGAUAACGGAGCGAAAGCUUUGCUAAUACCGCAUACGAUCUACGGAUGAAAGCAGGGGACCGCAAGGCCUUGCGCGAUUGGAGCGGCCG
rnacentral:rRNA from 1 species